GACGAACGCUGGCGGCGUGCCUAAUACAUGCAAGUCGAACGCAUUUUCUUUCACCGUAGCUUGCUACACCGAAAGAAAAUGAGUGGCGAACGGGUGAGUAACACGUGGGUAACCUGCCCAUCAGCGGGGGAUAACACUUGGAAACAGGUGCUAAUACCGCAUAAUUCCAUUUACCGCAUGGUAAAUGGAUGAAAGGCGCUUUUGCGUCACUGAUGGAUGGACCCGCGGUGCAUUAGCUAGUUGGUGGGGUAACGGCCUACCAAGGCUGCGAUGCAUAGCCGACCUGAGAGGGUGAUCGGCCACACUGGGACUGAGACACGGCCCAGACUCCUACGGGAAGCAGCAGUAGGGAAUCUUCGGCAAUGGACGCAAGUCUGACCGAGCAACGCCGCGUGAUUGAAGAAGGUUUUCGGAUCGUAAAACUCUGUUGUUAGAGAAGAACAAGGAUGAGAGUGGAAAGUUCAUCCCUUGACGGUAUCUAACCAGAAAGCCACGGCUAACUACGUG
rnacentral:rRNA from 1 species